ACCUGACUGCUAUCGGAUUGGUACUAAGCCAUGCGAGUCAUUGUAGCAAUACAAGGCGGACGGCUCAGUAACACGUAGUCAACCUAACUCGUGGACGUGGAUAACCUCGGGAAACUGAGAAUAAACCACGAUAGAUCAUAGUGCCUGGAAUGGCUUAUGGUCCAAACAGUUUACUGCCAUGGGAUGGGACUGCGGCCUAUCAGCUUGUUGGUGAGGUAAUGGCCCACCAAGGCGAUUACAGGUACGGGCUCUGAGAGGAGAAGCCCGGAGAUGGGUACUGAGACACGGACCCAGGCCCUAUGGGGCGCAGCAGGCGAGAAACCUUAGCAAUGUGCGAAAGCACGACUGGGUCAGUCCGAGUGAUUCCUGAUAAAGGAGUCUUUUGCUUGUCCUAAAAGCACAGGUGAAUAAGGGGUGGGCAAGUCUGGUGUCAGCCGCCGCGGUAAUACCAGCACCUCGAGUGGUCAGGACGUUUAUUGGGCCUAAAGCAUCCGUAGCCGGCUUUGCAAGUCUUCGGUUAAAUCCACCUGCUCAACAGAUGGGCCGCUGGAGAUACUACAGAGCUAGGGAGUGGGAGAGGCAGACGGUAUUCAGUGGGUAGGGGUAAAAUCCUCUGAUCCAUUGAGGACCACCAGUGGCGAAUGCGGUCUGCCAGAACACGUUCGACGGUGAGGGAUGAAAGCUGGGGGAGCAAACCGGAUUAGAUACCCGGGUAGUCCCAGCUGUAAACGAUGCAAACUCGGUGAUGCAUUGGCUUAUGGCCAAUGCAGUGCCGCAGGGAAGCCGUUAAGUUUGCCGCCUGGGAAGUACGGACGCAGUCUGAUACUUAA
rnacentral:rRNA from 1 species